rnacentral:rRNA from 1 species
AUGAGAUCCUUCUCCAAGCUGGCAACCCUGGGGUGGUACCUCCCGAAGUCAGACAGCACGAACACUGCUGGGAACAGCGCCGAUCGGGCGUGGAGCAAGCUGUUGGGGUGGUGCGCAACGACGACAUGGUCGGCACCGCCGGACCUCUUCCACUCCGGCUGCGCCACCAGAUACCUGACGAGCUUCUCCUGUAGGGACAUGUCUCUGCUUACCUUCUCCGGCGGCACGGCCUUGGAGUGGCGGUUGUAG